UGUUAUCUGACACUGUUGCCUCCGGGGCGACCCGGCCUGCCUUCGGGUGUUUCGGGGCCCCGGGUGGACCAUUCAACUCUGCAUCUUUGCGUCUGAGUAAAUGAUUGAAUCAAUCAAAACUUUCAACAACGGAUCUCUUGGUUCUGGCAUCGAUGAAGAACGCAGCGAAAUGCGAUAAGUAAUGUGAAUUGCAGAAUUCAGUGAAUCAUCGAAUCUUUGAACGCACAUUGCGCCCCCUGGUAUUCCGAGGGGCAUGCCUGUUCGAGCGUCAUUACACCACUCAAGCCUCGCUUGGUAUUGGGCGUCGCGUCCGCCGCGCGCCUCAAAGUCUCCGGCUGGCCCUCAAUCGUGUCGCAGCGUCGUGAUUAGAUACCCGCUUCGAAUUCCACGUGAGUGCGCCAUGGGCCGUUAAACACUUUCUACAGGUUGACCUCGGAUCAGGUAGG
rnacentral:rRNA from 1 species